rnacentral:lncRNA from 1 species
GUAGAAACACAUGAAAAUAAGCAAUUUAAUAUCAAAUAGCAAAUAUUGAAAAUCAAUUAAACAUAGGUCAAGUUACUACCGCAAAUCCUAACUCAAUUAACUAGCCCAUGUUUUAUAUAUGAAUAAAAGGAGAAUACUUUAUAAAAUUCAUUGCAAGUUUGACAAAACAAUGGAGAUAAACAAGUUUAUAGAUAAAACCCCCUUUUGUUGAAUUUUUGCAGAUGAAAUUGCUUGCUUUUGAUUUCUUUAAAACCUUGCCGAAUCCAUUGAUUGAAUCUCCUUGUACUCUAGGUGUGAUCUCUAAAAUACCAAGAAUUGAAAAGAGAAAAAAAAAGGAAAAAAAAAAAGAAAAUGAAUAAGCAGAAGGCGGCCGAAGAAGACCCCAGAAGUCGUGCCCAGCUGCUGGUUUUAACUAUACAACCUAGAAAAAUUACAGCCAUGGUCCCUGAAGUUUUGAAAAAUGAACAAAUUGGUCCCAAGCCCCUUUUUUAAUAUAAACAAUGGCGCCUAGGCACCCUGUUUCUGUCCAGCACCCAAAAAAAGGGUUUUGGUGUAAUUUUCAGCUUAGUACCUUAUCUAAUUG